rnacentral:lncRNA from 1 species
GAAGAACGUCUACUCCACUCAUAUUUAAAAAAGGAGAGGACUGCCUUCAAAGACAUACAGAACUCUGAAAACUGAAAGUAUUAUUAAAUUUAAAUCUACCUUCAAAGGAUAUAAGAGAGGACUAUUUAUAUUAAUAGUAAUUAUCUUAAAAAGAAGGAAAAUAAAGUCCUAAACUAGAAAGAAAAGAAUAAUAAACUUUAGAAAAUAAGAAAACUAAUCAUGUAUGAUAAGAAAUCUAAUAAGCAUCACUGUGUCUCGUUGAUUAUGAAUAAAAUAAUAAAAAUAGCAAGACCGAUGGCACUUAUUGAAAUAUUUAGGCGGACAGCACUCAGCAAGAUUGAUAACUGAAUUUUUCAACCAAACAUGCUCUCAAACCCAAAUAUACUUUUGGUUCGAAAUUAAUGUGUGAAGUGGCAUCAACAACGAAUAGCAUCUUCCUCUCUCGAUAGUUUAUCAAUAAAGACAAAAUUCCUAUAAUUGUCAUUAUAUAUUUUUAUUUUUUUAAUGGUUGGUAAGAGCAAUUAAGAAUCAAACCUUGCCAUUCCCAGCGAACGAUAGAGAGUGUGUGUACUGUGUAGAGAUGGAAAGGAGCAACUCAUACAAGGAUGGUCUGUUAUUCACAGCCAUGGUGGCAGUGGAGUGCACGAAUGUAGGCUUGAACAUUCUAUUCAAGUUAGCCGCUAGCAAAGGAAUGAGCUACUUUGUCUUCGUCUUCUAUUCUUAUGCUUCUACUACUAUUGUUCUCCUCUUUUUCCCCUUCAUCUUUCGCAGGUACUUGAUUAACUGUUACUCUCUCAAAUCUUCUUUUGAUCAUCAAUCACCUCACCAAUAAAAAAAAUCAUCUUUAAUUUGUUAAUACUUGUUCAGUAACACGGCGUCGCUUCCGUUGUUAAAGUUUCCUGUGAUCUCCAGAAUCUGCCUCCUUAGCCUCGUUGGGUAUGUAGAAUAUUAAUCACUGGAAACAAACUUUGAUUGAUUUGUUUGGUUAUUAAUUAAUUUUCUUGAACUUUUACUUUUUUUUUUUGGUGGUGGGGGGGAGCAGAUCCUCGUAUCAGAUUCUUGGGUAUACAGGUAUAGCAUAUAGCUCUCCAACUCUAGCUUCAAUGAUCAGCAAUCUCACUCCUGCUUUCACCUUCAUCCUUGCUAUCAUUUUCAGGUUCCAUCCUUUUAUUUUUAAAAGUACUCUAUUAUUUUUAGACAAUUACAUCGAGAUAAGAUAUAAAUUGACCAUUAUAGUCUAAGAAUAUAAUUAUCAGGAAAAAAAAAGAAAUAUUAAUAAUUAUUUCCUGAGAAGAAAAAGUUUCUGUGAUUAUUUUACUAAAGUACCAGAAUAUUAUCGUCUUUUUUUCAUAAUUAUUAUACUUUCUUAAAUUGAUUAUGGACCACAUAAAUUAUUCUUGAUACACCAAUGAUGUUCCAUGACAACCAAAAUGGACAAAAAAAAAAUCUAAAUGAUUGGCGGUUAGAAUAAAAGUCCAUAUAUCUAUGUCGGGUCAUGGUUUUAGCGCAUUUGUGUUAUUUGAAAUAUCUCAUCGUUUCCGAACAACUUUCAACAUUUUUGCUUUAAAUUUUUUUUCAGCUAUGGAAUAGUGGAAAUUAGUGAAAGAGACAACACGAACAGUAGCGAUUUAACAGCUACAAGAAUAAAAUUUCAGGAAGUCUGUCAAAUUUGUCAAUUAUCUCAGUUAUAUGUUUCUGUAUUUAUUUGAUCAUUUAUGUGCAUUGACCCAUUCGGUACUGUUAAUUAAUUGCAACAAUGCUCAAACGUUUCGCAAUUACAACAUGCCAAUAUCCCUGAUGUUUUGAGAAAGUGUGAAUGGUUUUAUUAAAAUGUAAGUUUACUCACUUGCGUCUCUAAUUUUCUUCAAUAUGUCAACAAAGUCCCAAAUGCUUAUAAGAGUUUUACACCAUAUGCCCUAAAAAUAUACUUUUAUUGCGGAUCUAUAGAGAUCGCACAAUCAGCACGUUUAAUCAUGAAACUAUCUCUCAGACUAAUUCUAAUAGUGAUUUAAGUUAAAUAAUUAAAUAAAUAUUAUUUUGUUUUAGACAUAUAACACAUUGGGUGUAAAAUAUCUCAAAGAAUGUCUAAGUUGUCGUAUAACUUUUAUGAUCGUGACCCACUGACUUUGGUCCAUUGUUUUUUAUCAUUUUUGUCUUUUGAUGUCGAAAUUUCUCCGCAGCUAUCAUCGUCAAUUGUCACUUUUUUACAAUUAUGUAAAUAAUUAUGGAAAAAUAGUUUGUUUUUUCUCUCUCGAAAUAAAAGUGGAAUGACAUCCCUCCAAUAUUUAAAAAUGUCAAAAUCUAAACUCUUGUCUCAAAACUAUUUGAUUAUAAAUAUAUCAAUAAAUAUUCUCAUGUAAUGUGAGUUGUAAUCCUAUACAUUAGUCUCUUGUGAUAAAAAAAAAAAAAAACUGUCACUUUUUCAUUUGAUCUUUUUCUCUUUCUUAUUUUCUCCAAAUAGGAUGGAAAAACUGGCAUUGGGGAGUUUAAGCACUUGGGCUAAAAUACUUGGCACGAUAGUAUCAGUAUCAGGAGCAAUGCUGGUGGUUCUUUAUAAAGGCCCAACUAUCAUAUCGACUUCAUCAAUGCCUUCACAAUCUCUUCAAUGGCCUCUACAAUCAACACAGUCAAGAUGGGUCAUCGGUGGCAUAUUGCUUCUUAUUGAGAACCUACUUAUUUCAGUCUGGUACAUUAUACAGGUACAUAACAAAAUUAUGAAUAAUGCUCAGAGUUUCAGCAUACGAGUAAUCCCAAUUAAUGUGUCAGCUUAUUAAACAGAACCUCAUUUGGUAAAUUAUUAAUCACAUCAUGAUGUUACAGUUACAGAUAAAACUACCAUAUCUAUUUAGUAUUCAAAUGUUGGGACUUUUAGUAUCAUCGUAAAAUUAUUACAUUAAUUCUCUAAUAUACUUUCAUAUAAAGAUUUUAAAGAUAUUUGGGAUUCUGUGACUUUUUAACAGACCCAAAUUAUGAAGUUAUACCCAGCAGAAUUUGUCGUAACAUUGCUUUACGGCUUGUUUGCCACAAUUAUAUCUGCGCCGAUAUGUUUCAUGGGAGAGUCAAAUUUGAGUGCUUGGAGGCUAAAACCUGACGUAGAAUUGGCUUCCAUUGUAUAUUCGGUAAGACUCCAAUCCAAUAGAAGAGACUUGAAUUCCGAAGAAGGGCAUCGAUUGAAAUGCCUUAGUGAAAGAUUCUUUUCUUUUUGUUUCAGGCAUUUUUUGGAUUAACAUUUAGUGCUGUUGUGCACACAUUUGGCCUGCGCAUGAAAGGCCCUGUGUACACAGCAAUUUUCAAGCCUUUGUCAAUUGCCAUCGCAGCCAUUAUGAGUUUCAUAUUCCUCGGCGAGGCUCUCCAUCUAGGGAGGUAAUAUUAUUAUAAUCAAUUACCCACUAGUUGGCUUGCUAGUUUUUGUUUUGAAUUUCGAGUCGGGGCCGAACUUUUUAUAAUCUUUUGCUGACGUGAAUUUAUAACAAUAUAUGAUUAAAAUUUAAUUUUAUAUUAUUUCUUAUUUAAUAACUAUCAAUUAUAAAUUAUUAAAAAAAAAUUAGAAAGAUUAUCAACUUAUCGCAAAAUUUAAAUCCAUUUUUGUUCUUGUAUGACUUAUUAAUGUCUUUCUUAAUUAUAAUCUCUUUUGUUGCAUGCAGCGUGAUUGGAGGAGUAAUAAUAUGUGUAGGGUUUUAUGCUGUAUUAUGGGGAAAGGCCAAUGAUGAAGGGGGAAAGAACGAAGACUCUUGUAAAAUCCCAUUGUUGCAAAGUCCUUCAAAUUGAAGACAUACAUAGAUUGUACGGUAUCAAAUAUCUUAUUGCUAACCGCUUGUAUGCAUUGUCAAUUGGAGCUAUGUCUUUAGGGGUUUAUUCAUCAUUUUACUCUGAGUUGUAUGUUGUCGCUAUGAUUUUGGAGGUUGUCAUGUCUAAGGGUUGGUCUCUUAUUUGGCUUGAAUGUGAUUCUCUUGAUACUGUUGUUUAUUUUUAGCGUUCAAUUUAUCUCACUUCUAAUGAUCUCUAUGUUCGUUGGUUGAAUUAUACCUGUCGAUUUAGACUUGUAUCCUUCAAAUGGAUUGGGAGAGAUGGGUAGUGUGCAUCUGUCUCUGUCUGUCUAUGUGUGUGUGCUGUGUAGAAAUUCUUUAUUUAUUUAUAUUUUUUAAUUUUAAAUAUUUUUUAAUUUCAAGUGGAAGAAUUGAUUAAUUUGUCGAUUCGGUUCAGUUUUGACCCGAAUUGAACACAAACCAAUCGAUUUACUUAUUUUUGACCCAUUCGAUUCUUACUUUCUGAAUCGAACUGAACCAAACGGAAAGAUUUCAAUUCGGUUCGACAAAAACUGAAUCAUUUGCCCACCCCUACUACAUAAUCAAAAUUAGAUUAAUUAACAUACAUACCUUUACAUUUAAAAAUAAUAUGUUUUGAAUACUAAGUGAUGCAGUGGAAAAUUAAUGUUUUAAUAUUCAGUUGAUUCUAAAUAAUACUAAAAUAAAAGAAGAACUAAAUUCAUGUUCAUUCGAAAGAAUACUAUGAAUUUAUGGGGUUAAGACUCAUAGAUUCCGCAAAAUAUCGAAAAUCAACUAAUCUUAAAAACUCAUAUAGAACUUUAAACUUAAAUCUACUUUCAAAGGCUACAAGAGAGGGUUAUUUAUAUUAUUAGUAAUUAUCUUAAAUCAUAAAGAAGGAAAUAAAGUCUAAAACUAGAAAGAAAAGAAUGAUAAACUCUAGACAAUAAGAAAAUUAAUCUAAAUAUAAUAAGAAUUUCUAAUAGGCAUCAUUAAGUUUCAGUGAUUAUGAAUAAAAUAAUAAAAAUAGCAAGACCGACAGCACUUUUAGAAAUAUUUAGGCAGACAACAAUAGCAAGAAUGGUAACUGAAUUUUUCAAUCAAACAUGUUCUCAGACCCAAAUAUAUUAGUUCGAAAUUAAUGUGUGAAUUGGCAUCAACAAUGAAUAGCAUCUUCCUCUCGAUAGUUGAAAAGACAAAAUUCCUAUGAUUGUCAGUGUAUAUUUUUUUUAAUGGUUGGUAAGAGCAAUUAAGAGUCAAACCUUGCCAUUCCCAACGAACGAUAGAGUGUGUGUGUAUUGUGUAGAGGUGGAAAGGAGCAACUCAUUCAAAGAUGGUGUGUUAUUCACAGCCAUUCCCAAUGAUGUGUGUACUUGGAUCGGUUUGGUUUUUAUCCGAACUGAAGACAAACCAAUCAAUUUGCUUAUUUUUUACCCGUUCGGUUCUAAUUCUCUGAAUCGAAUCGAAUCGAACUGAAAAAUUUUGAUUUGGUUCAGCAAAAACUGAACUGUUUGCCCACCCCUACUAUAUAAUCAAAAAUAGAAUAAUUAAUAUACCUAUACAUUUGAAAAUAACAUGUUUUUUAAUAUUAAGUGAUCAUGCAACAAAAAUUUAAUGUUUUAAUAUUUUGUUAAUUUUAGAGAAUAUCAGCACAAAGUCACAAAGGAACAAACUAAAUUUACGUUGAUUCGAAAUAGUAUCAUAAACCUAGGGAAGUUAAGACUCAUUGAUUCCGCAAAAUAUUGAGAAUUAACUAUACUAAAAAACUCACACAUAAUUAUUUGGUUGCGAAUGCAUGGUGUAGGAGCCAAUGCACCGCAGCAGUACUCCAAUAAUUGAUCAAUAUUGUCAUAUGCAAAGAAGUACAACAGUACUCUUACUGUUAUUUGUAAUAGCUUGCACGAGGAAUACUGGGGCAUGCCCAGGAAUUGAUUCAUUUAAUCGGUCUAGCUGCUCCUAUUUGUUGUUGUUUUUUAUUUUUUUUCCCGUUAAAAUACCUAGGCUGUCCUCUUUAUCAAUAGGUUUGCAUGCAACGCAAGGAAAAAAAAAAUUUGACACAAUGGACGAGGUAAUAUGCCCUCAUCGGUCCACAAAAAUCAGCUAGUCCAAGUGGAUUCUUAAAACAUGGAUCAUGAUUCUCUCUUGAUAUGAUCAUUUCCUGAGCAACUCAAUUGUUGAUUGGUAAUUAAUAAAUAAAGUAAUAAAAGAAGUUAAAUCUUACCCAUAUACUACCACUAAAACACACAUAACAAAAGAUCUUAAAAAAUUCAAAAGAAAUCAUAUUAGGAGAUGAUCAUUUUCCCUAAAGGAGAGGGUCACCUCGCAUGACAGGCAACAACAGAGGAACACAUGGACUUCAACCAUAAAGGUCCCUUGCCAUUUGCCAAUCCUUCAAAGACCAACUCACUAGUGCUGCAAAAGUUAUAAGGCUCACUCGUGAGUCCCAAAAGGCCCACGUCUGAAAAACAUUGGGUCAUACGUCAGGCCCAAGAGUCCACCAUGCCUACUACAUUUUCAAACUAAUGUCACAAAUUUCCAUUCAAAAAAAAAAGUAAAGUCACAAAUUUGAUAUUUACAAUAGCUCAUCACUUUUUUUUUUUUUUUAAUUAUACGAGACUAUUACUUAGAUUACAACUCAUAUUUAAUGAGAUUAGUAUAUUGAUAUUUACAAUCAGACAAAUACUGAAACUAAUUUACAAAUUUUAUAUAAUACAAUUCAUAUUUUUACCCUAUCUAAUAUUCGAGGGACGUCCACUAUUGGGACUAAUUUACAAAUCUUAUAUAAUACAAUCUAGAUUUUUACCAUCUCUAAUAUUCGAAGAACGUCUACUCCACUCAUAUUUAAAAAAGGAGAGGACUGCCUUCAAAGACAUACAGAACUCUGAAAACUGAAAGUAUUAUUAAAUUUAAAUCUACCUUCAAAGGAUAUAAGAGAGGACUAUUUAUAUUAAUAGUAAUUAUCUUAAAAAGAAGGAAAAUAAAGUCCUAAACUAGAAUGAAAAGAAUAAUAAACUUUAGAAAAUAAGAAAACUAAUCAAGUAUGAUAAGAAAUCUAAUAAGCAUCACUGU